UACGAAGGGGGCUAGCGUUGUUCGGAAUUACUGGGCGUAAAGCGUGCGCAGGCGGCUUCUCAAGUCAGGGGUGAAAGCCCAGAGCUCAACUCUGGAAUUGCCUUUGAGACUGAGUGGCUUGAGUACGAGAGAGGUGAGUGGAAUUCCCGGUGUAGCAGUGAAAUGCGUAGAGAUCGGGAGGAACAUCAGUUGCGAAGGCGGCUCUCUGGACCAGCACUGACACUGAGGCACGAAAGCGUGGGGAGCAAACAGG
rnacentral:rRNA from 1 species